ACAGCAGUCGCCACGGUAAUACGUAGGUGGCAAGCGUUGUCCGGAAUUAUUGGGCGUAAAGGACUCGCAGGCGGUUUCUUAAGUCUGAUGUGAAAGCCCCCGGCUCAACCGGGGAGGGUCAUUGGAAACUGGGAAACUUGAGUGCAGAAGAGGAGAGUGGAAUUCCACGUGUAGCGGUGAAAUGCGUAGAGAUGUGGAGGAACACCAGUGGCGAAGGCGACUCUCUGGUCUGUAACUGACGCUGAGGAGCGAAAGCGUGGGGAGCGAACAGGAUUAGAGACCCGCGUAGUCCCUGUCUCUUAUAC
rnacentral:rRNA from 1 species